GCAGGAAAGCGGGUCAAUGUGUAGGGCUGGAGGGCAGGGGCGGGCCCUGGGCCUGGGCUGGGGGUCCUGCCCCGGGGCGCACCCAGGGCGAGGGCUGCCCGGAGGAGCCGAGGCUGGCGGACAGCUUGGCCCUGAGCUUGAGGGGAAGGCAGCGAUGGGACAAAGGACGGAGGUCUAGGAAGAGGGUCUGCAGAGCAGAAAGCACGGGUAGGGGCGGCCUGACGCUCGGAAGACAACGGAUGGGAGCCGUGUGCACGUCGGGAGCUCGGAGUGAGCGUGAGUUCCGUGCCCAGGCCCGCGACUCGGUCCACCAGGACAGCGCUCCGGGUCGACGGGGUCCUGGAGCCGCGCUCGGGGAGGGCGCAGCGGAGGGUGAGCGGCGGCGUUAGGACCCGGAGGCGCGGGCGGAGGUGGCGGGGCUAGGACCCAGCGGCUCCGGCAGAGCGGAAGCGGCGGCGGGAGCUUCCGGGAGGGCGGCUCGCGGGCAUCUCUGGGAAAGGACCUGGGGCUGGUGAGGGGCCCGGAGGAGCCUUUGCCCGUGUGUCAGACUCCAUCCCUCCUCUGCCGCCACCGCAGCAGCCACAGGCAGAGGAGGACGAGGAUGACUGGGAAUCCUAGGGGGCUCCAUGACACCUUCCCCCCCAGACCCAGACUUGGGCCGUUGCUCUGACAUGGACACAGCCAGGACAAGCUGCUCAGACCUGCUUCCCUGGGAGGGGGUGACGGAACCAGCACUGUGUGGAGACCAGCUUCAAGGAGCGGAAGGCUGGCUUGAGGCCACACAGCUGGGGCGGGGACUUCUGUCUGCCUGUACUUCAUGGGGGGACGGCUCCACCCAGCCUGCGCCACUGUGUUCUUCUCUUAAGAGGCUUCCAGAGAAAACGGCACACCAAUCAAUAAAGAACUGAGCAG
rnacentral:lncRNA from 1 species